rnacentral:rRNA from 1 species
UCCCACAACUCUUGUGGGGGUUUUUAGGAGAGAAUCCCCCCCCCCUGUUUUUGAAAACCGGCCCAAAAUUUUUGGGGGGCCCCCGGUGGGGAAUUUGUUUUAAGGGGGGGGGGCUUAAACAACCCAUCCCGGUAAAGGAUUAAGCCCUUGGGGUUUAAAAUUUUUUUACGGGGGCCAAUAAGGGUUUUGGAAAUUCCAAUGAGGUAUUGUUGAAAAAGAUGGGGUAAAUCGGGGCAGCAACGCCGUAAAUNCGAGGAUGCAGCGUUAUCCGGAUUUANUGGUUUUAAAGGGGCGUAGCUGAACUGUAAGUUCAGAGNUGAAUUCUCNGGGCUCAAACCUGGACUGCCCUUUGAUACUGCAUGUCUGGAGUUCGGAUGCCGUGGGAGGAAUGGGCAGUGUAGCGGUGAAAUGCAUAGAUAUUGCCCAGAACACCGAUUGCGAAGGCAUCUCACGAAUCCGACACUGACGCUGAGGCACGAAAGCGUGGGGAGCAAACA